GGGCGCCCGGGUGGCCGCUCUUGUAGUGGAGAGCCAGGGCUUCCGGAAGGGGAGAGGAGCGAUCUUAGUGGAAGGAUCGGCACCCAGGAAGGGGCGACUUGAGACCGAGCAGGGAGGGGGGUGCCUGGGAGUGGGCGUACGGAAGGGAGCGACCGGGAGAAGUCGGGAAGAAGAUGUGGCCUGACCCUCCUCUGAGAGUGUGUGUCUUCCUUCCUCUUCGGAAAUGAUUGCUACCCGCGACUUUGAUUUCGGUCCCAUUCAGUUUUUAAACUUCAGGAGAGAUCACAGCAUCUUGAUCAUCUUCCUUUCGUCACACCCACUUAGUCCUGCUGGUGUAGGGUUUUACUUCUUGGAAAACUAGCCCUUCGGAUCAUAUUUCUUUGAAAGAUUUCCCCCUGAUCUGGUCAUCUUGGAGGCUAAGAACUAAAAAGUUGUACUUGCACUGAUGGUGUAAAGGCAAAGUUUCAUGGUGAUGAUAUGGCAUCUGCCAGCUCCAGCCGGGCAGGAGUAGCCCUGCCUUUUGAGAAAUCUCAGCUUACUCUGAAAGGU